rnacentral:rRNA from 1 species
ACAGCAGCAGCCGCGGGAACACCGAGGGUGCAAGCGUUAUCCGGAUUCACUGGGUUUAAAGGGUGCGUAGGCGGAUCUGUAAGUCAGUGGUGAAAUCUCCAGGCUUAACCUGGAAACUGCCGUUGAUACUAUAGGUCUUGAAUUUUGUGGAGGUUAGCGGAAUAUGUCAUGUAGCGGUGAAAUGCAUAGAUAUGACAUAGAACACCAAUUGCGAAGGCAGCUGGCUACACAACUAUUGACGCUGAGGCACGAAAGCGUGGGGAUCAAACAGGAUUAGAUACCCGCGUAGUCCCUGUCUCUUAUAC